UACGUAGGUGGCGAGCGUUGUCCGGAAUUACUGGGUGUAAAGCGCGCGUAGGCGGGAGGCCAAGUCCGCUGUGAAAUCGCCCGGCUCAACUGGGCGCGGUCGGUGGAAACUGGUCACCUGGAGGACGGUAGAGGCGAGUGGAAUUCCCGGUGUAGUGGUGAAAUGCGCAGAUAUCAGGAGGAACACCGGUGGCGAAGGCGGGUCUCUGGGCAACAACUGACACUGAGGAGCGAAAGCGUGGGGAGCGAACAGG
rnacentral:rRNA from 1 species